GCCGGGAUGGCGGAACUGGCAGACGCAAGGGACUUAAAAUCCCUUGGGGCGCAAGCCCCGUGCGGGUUCAAAUCCCGCUCCCGGCA
rnacentral:tRNA from 1 species